GGUUAGGGAUGCUAGAAAAUGUUAUUCUCACAUAUAUUCCUGUACCUCGAAGAAUAAUUGGAUAUAACUUCUUUAAGAAGGCUCAUAUACUCAAAACAAAAGAUAAUAAAUUUAUAUGGUUUAUAAGAAUUUUGAUAAUGAGUAUGAGCUACCAAAUAGAGAACUUGGUCUCUACACAGUAGAGAGUUUUGUUUUUGACUUGCAGACAGGUAGGGCGACUGUUAGGAGAAGUCCCUCAGCACACUUUGCUGGGAUGCAGAGACCGAGCUAUCACGGAGCAGAUUCUACACCACAGGGACCAACAUACACUGCCUUCACGGGUUUUGAUCAGCCACAGCCAUCACACCAGACUACUUAGCCAUGGACACACCACAAUACAUGGGAGGGUUACACCUCUUAUCAAGAGGGGGAGUCGUCUUCAGGAUGGGGACAAUGGGAACAAGGUAAUACCUCUUUUUCGUAGGAGACUGAGUAUGAGAGAGGAUGAGCAUCCUUCUCUACACGCCCACACAUAGACUUCAGUACCGGUGGCCCAUGCGCAUUCCAUGCACCGCAACGACUACUACUAGCCUCCAGAGCAGCACAGACGACCUUUAUCAUAUGGUGGAGCCCCUCCUUUUGAUCAGUUUGGCCAGCAACUGACUAGCUUGGGGAUGGGUCAACAGAGGAUUCAAACCAUGCUAGAUCACACAGUGGCGUGGCAACAUCAGAUGGAUAAUAGUGUGAACACACUGCAGGGGUCUCACGAUCAGGGACAAGAGGCCCUUACACUUUUGCUUCAGAGUUUAGGACUCGAGUAUCCACCAACACCACCAAAGCAGUGAGAUAGCUUGGGGGAGGACACUGCAAGGUGAGCACACUUCUCCUUUGUAUAUAUUUAUCCUUCAUUUUUAGUAUUUACUUUCUUGUUCUUAGCUACAAAAAAAUGCAAAACCAGGAAAGCCAAAUAAAAAUGUCUUUAUUGCUAAAAUUUAAUUCAUGCAUGAUAAAAAUAAAACCCAAAAAUAGAGUGUGUAAAAAGGUUUGCUUUAAUUUUCAGUUGUUAGAAGAACUUGAAGGCUAGACUUUUUUGAGUAAUAAAAAUAUCAAAUAUUAUUUCCUUCAUAUGCUUAGUAUUUAAAUCAAGAUUCUCCUAUAGAUUGAAUGAAGUUGUCCUUAUAUGAAAAUUUAUUCUAAGCUUGAUAUCUGUGGGUAGCAUAUUCUUGACCCUAAGUCUAGGUAAUUGUUGGACAUGACUAGAGAAGGUCUAAGUUGUUGUUUAUCAUACUCUGAAAUGAUGCUAAAAUUCUAGAGAAUUACUUUUUGAAAAAUGCAAAAUGUUACAUGAUGAGAUCUUGUAUGACAAUGCUAAAUUCCUAUGAGAGCCAUAAUGAAUACUUAGGCUAGGAAGCUUUCUACAUAAUACUAAUUGUCAUUUCAUUGAGUUUGAUCAACCUUUGUGACCCUAAUGAGAGACUUGUCAUGCUUUUAAAAUCAAGAUUCACUUGCACUCCACUUAUAUAUAUGCACUACCCUACACUGGAGUAGGCGCAACUAUAUGCCAUUCCACUCUUGUUAGAAAAAUGUUUUACUCCUACACUAGGAGGAAACACCCAAAAAUAUUCCAUUAGGAUAGCCAACACAUAAAUACUCAAAUAUCAUGUUGUUAUUAUCUCUCAGUUUUAUAGGCCAAAAAGGAAGUUUGUGAGUUAUGCAAAAUAAAUAAAGAAAAAUGGACAAGUGUCUGAAAUAAAAAAAGAGAAAAAAGAGAAGAGAGAAAGAAAGAAAAAGGAUAGCUCAUAAUUCUUGGCAAUAUUUCUAAAUUUCAAAACAGAGAUAAGGAUGAUCAUAGUAAAAUUAGGAUUAUUAGUUUCCAUCAUAUUCCACACACAUGCACAUCUUGAUUUGAUUGUAUGACUUGUUUCUCUUUGGAUCCAUUGUUUGAUUUUACAAUAUAUGGUUUGCAAGUAAGUCAUCCAUGAUUAUUUCCAUACCUAUGAGCUCUAGAUAAACCUUUAGAAUUAGGUUGAGAAAGGCAUACGCUUUAUUGCCUAUGUGAGGAACAAAAAAUACCACAUAUAUGAGCGACUUGAGAGUGUCAUACGAAACAUCUCUGAGUUUUAUUUUUGAAAAUCCAUAAAAACUCUAGAAGAUUGGUUAAAUAGAAGAGUUUGAGACAUAGUACUUGGCUUGAUCUGUCUGUUUUCCAAUUGCUCAUGACCCAAGGUGAAAGAUGUUAAGCUCCAUGGUUGAAAAGAAUAAGAGUAUGAUUUGAAAAUAAGGCUAAUGAAUUUUAACAUGGAGAAGAAUUUUAAUUCCCAUCAUUUUAUAGUUAGCUUUGCUAGGGACUAGCAAAGGUUUAGCUUGGGGGAGCUUGUUGACGGUAGAUAAGGAUCACUUUUAACCGUCAGCUAAAUGCAUAAAGGAGAUCACCACUAGAAAACAUAGGGGUUUUAAUUGACAAUUUCCAUGAGUUUUGGUUAUUUCACAUUUUCUAUAGGAUUAUUCCAGAAAAGAGAAAUUGGAGGAUUUAAUUGCAAGAUUUACACAAAACUUAACCGCGACAAAAAAUAUAAUUAUCGGACUAAGGAAGAAUCCAGAAGACACCAAAACGAAGCGGAGAAGCGGAGCCCACCUGGUGGGGCCAGCCGGCCCACUGGCCAGGCUGGCCAGCCAACCCCUUCCAUGGCCUUUCACCAGCUUCUGGAUUAUUCCUCCACCAUCCUCG
rnacentral:lncRNA from 1 species